UCGUCCCAACUACUGCACCCUAGAUUUGUUUUGUUUUGUGCUCAGACAGAGUCCAAGAGACAACAACUUUAGUACAUCUUCUUUUGUGGGCCAUUUUAACAUGAUACAAGCGAUUAAGAUGUGGGAAGAAACUUGGACUACGUUUGAUUUUGGUUCAGUUCUGAGUUGAUUUUGGCACCUACUGAACAUUGUGUGUGAUAUUUAACUUAAAACACUGUUGAGUAUGCUUUUCUAUUUUAGCUUGAAUCAGUGAUUAAUUUGUUGUAUUUGUAAAACUUAAAUUUAACAUGAAGCUAAAAUCCAAGAAUUUGUGUCACAGCUGUUAGGUAAUAAUGAGUGUAUGUCACAUCACCUCAUAUUUAAAUAAAAGCAUUUUUAAAAAAA